GGAAUGUGCUGCUGUCGUCAACAGACUGAGGAUUAAUGGACAAAUACUUCUGAGCCUGUCCGACAGUGACAUGAACCAGUUCAGUCUCAUCCACCGACCGCAGCUUCAAAAGAUUGUCCAAGACAUCAAGAAGAAUGAUGGCAGCUUGCUGAACAAACUGAGGAGGCUGAAGAGCAAGCCGCUUCCAAAAGUGCCUGCGAGAGAUUACAGAGAUGACAGGGAAGAUGGUGAACUGUCUGAUACGG
rnacentral:lncRNA from 1 species